rnacentral:snRNA from 1 species
GGCCUCCUGUGGGAAUGCAAUCCAAUAAAGUUGGAACGAUACAAAGAGGACUAGCGUGGCCCUUGCCCAAGGAUAACACAACAAA